CCAGACUCCUACGGGAGGCAGCAGUGGGGAAUAUUGCACAAUGGGGGAAACCCUGAUGCAGCAACGCCGCGUGAGUGAAGAAGUAUUUCGGUAUGUAAAGCUCUAUCAGCAGGGAAGAGAAUGACGGUACCUGACUAAGAAGCCCCGGCUAACUACGUGCCAGCAGCCGCGGUAAUACGUAGGGGGCGAGCGUUAUCCGGAUUUACUGGGUGUAAAGGGAGCGUAGACGGUUCUGCAAGUCUGAAGUGAAAGCCCGUGGCUUAACCGCGGAACGGCUUUGGAAACUGUGGAACUGGAGUGCUGGAGAGGCAAGCGGAAUUCCUAGUGUAGCGGUGAAAUGCGUAGAUAUUAGGAGGAACACCAGUGGCGAAGGCGGCUUGCUGGACAGUAACUGACGUUGAGGCUCGAAAGCGUGGGGAGCAAACAGGAUUAGAUACCCCAGUA
rnacentral:rRNA from 1 species